AGUUCUGUCUGCCCGGCCCCUGGUUUGUGUUACUUGUGCCUGAAGUUGAGCCGGUAUCUUGGCCUCGGACACACGCACACAAAAGCUCACAGACAGCUACUCCUCUGCUGGAAAGAGGCAGUAGGAAAGCGGUCGCACACAGGAUGUCUUUCAGCAGCAAAAAUUAAUAGGUUUUGAAAUACACAGCGCUGUACUGGUGACGCAACGCUGCUCAAUGGAUGCGAAAAUAGGUUUUCUCACCCCUCUCCCACCCUCCAAACCAACCAUGACUUGGAGUCUUCACAAAUAAGGGUAGCUAAACCCAACCAACCCAACUCAUGAAUCAGCAGCUUCAAUAUUCAUAAAAUCACUACAGAAAGGAAAGCGCGUACACUGGAAAAUGCUGGCAUGGCAGACACCACCAGACCUUCCAUUGUCAAUGGCCUGAGCUUGGGUGACACCAUAGGAACAUUCUCCUUGGAGAAGAGUCCCCAGCCAGUCCUGUCAUCACUCCCAGCCUGGGAAGCUGCAGCCUCCAGCUACAGAACUCAAGG